UACGGAGGUGGCAAGCGUUGUUCGGAAUUACUGGGCGUAAAGGGCGCGUAGGCGGCUAGGCAAGUCAGAUGUGAAAGCCCCGGGCUUAACUCGGGAAUUGCAUCUGAAACUGCUGGGCUUGAGUUCUGGAGGGGGUAGUGGAAUUCCCAGUGUAGAGGUGAAAUUCGUAGAUAUCGGGAGGAACACCGGUGGCGAAGGCGGCGACCUGGGUCGACACUGACGCUGAGGCGCGAAAGCGUGGGGAGCAAACAGG
rnacentral:rRNA from 1 species